GGGAAAGUGGCUCAGUGGUAGAGUGCUUGCCUUGCAUGCAUGAGUCCCUGGGUUCAAUUCCUAAGCACCA
rnacentral:tRNA from 1 species